rnacentral:lncRNA from 1 species
AAAACAAGUAAUCCAAGAGAGAAGCAGAAGCCACCAUGGUUUUUUAUGCCGUUGUUGACCUAGCCCCCAAAGUGACAUAUUAUUACACAGAUAUGUAGCCAACCUGUGGGUCACUGAUACGGUUUGGAUGUGUGUCCCCUCCAAAUCUCAUGUUGAAAUGUGAUUCUCAGUGUUGGAAGUGGGGCUGGUGAUAGGUGUUUGGUUCAUGAGGGUAGAUCCCUUAUGAAUGGCUUGGUGCUGUCUUUGUGGCAAUAAGUGAGUUCUCACUAUCUGAGUUCACACAAGAGCUGGUUGUUUAAAAGAGCCUGUCAUCUCUUUUGCUCCCUUUCUCACCAUGUGAUAUGCUGCUCCCCUUCUCUUCUGCCAUGAAGAAAAGCUUCCUGAGGCCUUCACCAGAAGCAGAUGCUGGUGCCGUGCUUCUACAGCCUGCAGAACUGAAGGACUUUACAGCUUCUCUUUCGCAUAUCCAAAUUGCCAGCAUCACCGCUCUUGCACUCCAAGCCAUUAUUAAGUAAAGUAAAGAACACAAACACUGUGAUACUGCUACACUUGAUCUGAUAACCAAGAAGUCUACUAAGUGACUAACAGAGCAACUGGGAACCUAAUUCUGACCAAAAAGGAGGAAUUGUUUGGCUAAUUGGAAGUGACAGAAACCUUGGGAGAAAGCAACCGCAUACCAAGGAUAAUUAUAAGAAGGUAACAUGGGCCCUAAAGGAUAGUGUCAAG